rnacentral:rRNA from 1 species
GACGAACGCUGGCGGCGUGCCUAACACAUGCAAGUCGAACGGAACUGUUUUGAAAGAUUUCUUCGGAAUGAAUCUGAUUUAGUUUAGUGGCGGACGGGUGAGUAACGCGUGAGUAACCUGCCUUCAAGAGGGGAAUAACAUUCUGAAAAGAAUGCUAAUACCGCAUGACAUAUCGGAACCACAUGGUUUUGAUAUCAAAGAUUUUAUCGCUUGAAGAUGGACUCGCGUCCGAUUAGUUAGUUGGUGAGGUAACGGCUCACCAAGACCGCGAUCGGUAGCCGGACUGAGAGGUUGAACGGCCACAUUGGGACUGAGACACGGCCCAGACUCCUACGGGAGGCAGCAGUGGGGGAUAUUGCGCAAUGGGGGCAACCCUGACGCAGCAACGCCGCGUGAAGGAUGAAGGUUUUCGGAUUGUAAACUUCUUUUAUUAAGGACGAAAAAUGACGGUACUUAAUGAAUAAGCUCCGGCUAACUACGUG